rnacentral:rRNA from 1 species
UACGUAGGGUGCAAGCGUUAAUCGGAAUUACUGGGCGUAAAGCGUGCGCAGGCGGUUUUGUAAGUCUGUUGUGAAAUCCCCGGGCUCAACCUGGGAAUUGCGAUGGAGACUGCAAGGCUAGAAUCUGGCAGAGGGGGGGUAGAAUUUCACGUGUAGCAGUGAAAUGCGUAGAGAUGUGGAGGAACACCGAUGGCGAAGGCAGCCCCCUGGGUCAAGAUUGACGCUCAUGCACGAAAGCGUGGGGAGCAAACAGGG